rnacentral:rRNA from 2 species
GUCGAACGGAAAGGCCCUUCGGGGUACUCGAGUGGCGAACGGGUGAGUAACACGUGGGUGAUCUGCCCUGCACUUUGGGAUAAGCCUGGGAAACUGGGUCUAAUACCGAAUAUGACCAUGCACUUCCUGGUGUGUGGUGGAAAGCUUUUGCGGUGUGGGAUGGGCCCGCGGCCUAUCAGCUUGUUGGUGGGGUAAUGGCCUACCAAGGCGACGACGGGUAGCCGGCCUGAGAGGGUGACCGGCCACACUGGGACUGAGAUACGGCCCAGACUCCUACGGGAGGCAGCAGUGGGGAAUAUUGCACAAUGGGCGCAAGCCUGAUGCAGCGACGCCGCGUGAGGGAUGACGGCCUUCGGGUUGUAAACCUCUUUCAGCACAGACGAAGCGCAAGUGACGGUAUGUGCAGAAGAAGGACCGGCCAACUACGUGCCAGCAGCCGCGGUAAUACGUAGGGUCCGAGCGUUGUCCGGAAUUACUGGGCGUAAAGAGCUCGUAGGUGGUUUGUCGCGUUGUUCGUGAAAACUCACAGCUUAACUGUGGGCGUGCGGGCGAUACGGGCAGACUUGAGUACUGCAGGGGAGACUGGAAUUCCUGGUGUAGCGGUGGAAUGCGCAGAUAUCAGGAGGAACACCGGUGGCGAAGGCGGGUCUCUGGGCAGUAACUGACGCUGAGGAGCGAAAGCGUGGGGAGCGAACAGGAUUAGAUACCCUGGUAGUCCACGCCGUAAACGGUGGGUACUAGGUGUGGGUUUCCUUCCUUGGGAUCCGUGCCGUAGCUAACGCAUUAAGUACCCCGCCUGGGGAGUACGGCCGCAAGGCUAAAACUCAAAGAAAUUGACGGGGGCCCGCACAAGCGGCGGAGCAUGUGGAUUAAUUCGAUGCAACGCGAAGAACCUUACCUGGGUUUGACAUGCACAGGACGCUGGUAGAGAUAUCAGUUCCCUUGUGGCCUGUGUGCAGGUGGUGCAUGGCUGUCGUCAGCUCGUGUCGUGAGAUGUUGGGUUAAGUCCCGCAACGAGCGCAACCCUUGUCCUAUGUUGCCAGCGGGUUAUGCCGGGGACUCGUAGGAGACUGCCGGGGUCAACUCGGAGGAA